rnacentral:rRNA from 1 species
UAGUAAAGAUUUUAAAUAAGUAAUUAAUAAUUUAUAAAAAGUAUAAUUUUAGAAAAUCUAUAAUAGCUCUUCUUUAUUUUAAUCCCCGAAAGGGUUAUGAUUAUAAAUCUAGAGAAAUUAGUUUUUAAUAAUGUACCUUUUGUAUCAGGGGCUUAGGAAUAUAAAUAAUUAAAUAAUAACCUCCCGAAAGAAAAGGGAUUUUUAGUUUUAUAAAUGUUAUUAUUUCAUCAAUAUAAAUAAUAAAAUUAAAGAGAUAAAAAGUCAAUUCGUUCAUUCUUAUAACUGGUUUGCUUAAAGAAGCUUUUAUAGAAAGUUAUAGAAAAUUGGAUUAACACUUUAUUUUCUCUAAAUUCAUAAAGGGAUAAGCUUUUAUGACUCUAGGAAUAUCAAUUUUUACUUUAUCUUCUUGACAGGAUAGUCGCUAUUUAUUUAUUUAUAGAUCAACCUAUAGAAUAGCAUCUUUAGUAAAAUAAAAUUUAAACUUUAAUAAUUAUCUUAGCAUUAGUACUUACAAA